rnacentral:tRNA from 1 species
CGGGGAUGGAAGGCUUCGAUCCCACACUACAUUAGUUAACAGCUAACACGCUAACCAACAAGCAUCAUACCC